UUUCAGGUUUCAUAAGAUGUAGGUGUAGGGCACUAUGUCCAAGCACCCAGGUACCUUUACCCAGGUUUAACGCCGUUAUGCGGAAUGAUAAAAUCUUAUAUUUAAUUUAUUGAAUCCUUUGGCGUGUAAGCGAAGGCAUUUGCAGUUUGUUCAACAUAUAAAGCAACUCAUAUUUAAUAUAUAAAGUGACAGGGUAAUGGAUGGGGUCAAAAUUACACCGAUAAGUUUCAUUUCCCUUUCUAAUCUCUUAAGUGACAGAUCUUGCGUUGAGGCUUCACCAUCAUUCGUUUCUUCAGUCCGAACAAAACUUUUCACAGCCCCAUUUGCAUUAUUUAUCAAAGUUUGGCUUUAUAAUUUUAUGUUUAUUACCAGAUUUUUAAUAAAUCAAUUUUUUCACAAAUAUGAAUGUUUGGAUAGUAGACGGCAAAGCGUAUAUCCUUCUUCCAACAUCUUCGGCAGUUGAAAGGGCAUUCUGUUAUAUACAUUAUUAACAAGUUCAAAAGUAAAAUGGUAGCAGUUUACCAAGGCAUUAGCAAGGGGUAAUGCGUACUGAAAUUCGUAGAUUGUGAUGAGCUACAGCAAUCCGGUCAUAAAGAUCAGAACAGAUGGUUGUUACUGUAAGCUGGUUGAGUUUCAUUCUUUGCGGACAGACAUUUUCACUUAUUCAACUACCCCGGUCUCAUACUUAAGUCGUUCCAUCUAAUGAGCUAUCCCAUUUCAAUUCUUAAAUACACGGUUUCGAAAUUUUAACAGAAGGAUUCGAUUUCCAAAGGACUUCUCAUUGAAGUUACCUCUUUCAGUUAUAUAACUGCUUUUUUAAUCAACCGCUUUCAUUUAGAGCGAGACACAUUCCAGUAGUACGCAACGUUGUUAGAAAGAGUUAUCUUGCUACAAAUUCUGCUUUUGUCUGACGCCUGUUAACCUGUUGCUUCGAUCCGAAAACAGAACUUUCUGCUCUUGAAGUUCAGGCUGGAUAAUCUUAAAUACAAAUCUCCAAAAAUUUCAUAUGAUAAUGUCAUCUAAGUGACAUUAAUACUUUAUCUUCAUCAAGUCACGUUAUCAAAUCGAUCAAAUCAUCGUCAAGUACGUUAUAAAGUAUUGUCUUUCUUCUCCCAGUAUGCCUCUGUUUAACGGUAGCACACUCGGCGCGUAUUCGAGAAGUCCAAGAUAGAGUCCUGGAGCUGGCAUUGCACAUUUGUUACUUCUUCUGCUUCAAAAUAACUUAAAGACUUUACAAAUGGCGCCCGCACUAAAAGGUGGUGGACAAUAAUUCGUCACCACCAGGAUGGUGACUGGGUCCCAUAACCCCUUGUCGCUCUUUAAAAGGGGAAGUACAUGAAGUAUUUUUCCCUCUUUUCAGUAUACCUUAGUGGCGUAACGGUAGUUCAUUCGGCACGUAUUCGAGAGGUCCAGGUUCGAGUCCCGGAGAGGCCACUGCACAUUUUUCCCAUCUCCCGCUUCAAAAUAGCCUAAUGACUCUACAACAUCUAAUUAAGAAUAAUUUAUUUUCAUUCCAGAUUAGAAUCAGUUUUAAAAAAGGUAAAGGUCCGCAGCGAAUGCGAGCUUCACGUGGACUCUCCAGCAGGUGGAAUCUUUGUCACUGGUCUCCGAGAUAUGAGCCUCAAGUCGACACAUGGAAAGGUAGUCAUAGACAGCACACGAUUAGAAAUGAAGAACCUGAAAUUGUCUCGUCAAACGAAGGAAAAAAACUUCCAAGUAGUUUAUCAAGUGUGCAUGUGUGACAACGGUCGCCUGUUCUUGGCGCAUAGAGAAGGCUACUGCCAAAUUCAUGACUCAGUCUGCAAAGGUUCUGAUAGAGGAGAUUACCAUAAAUUACACGAAUCACGUUGCACCUUGUCCUGAAACUGUGUUACUGCAAAGAUGGAAACUAUUUUAUUAUUCAAUUAUAUGAGCGUAACAUUUGGUAAGAAAAGAGCAGCAUAAGAUUUGCUGGAAGUCUUAGUGCAAAAUAAGAUCCUCGUGUGUUGAGGGAACAAAGUGCUAAGAAGAAAGCUUAAUAUGGGUAGGACACAACGGGAAAAUUUCUGUGGACACCUGUCAUCCACAUACGAGGGUUUCGUUUCUUUUUUCUCGGGAGGGGUAUAGUCUGUCAACUUCAAUAUUUGUUUCAAACUCUUUUACUUUACAUGAGCUAUUUAAAAAUAAUUUAAUUCAGCAUAUCAUUUAUAUGAAAUAAUGAGCUUCAGCUAAAGAUAUCGGAGGAAAUUAAUUUUCUAAAUAAUAUAUAUCGAGGAAGCUAUGUUAAUUAAUUUAAAGACCUUUUUCAUCCGCACGGCGGUUAAAGCCUCAAAAUUAAUCCUUAUUUUUUACUUAUGCAAAACAUGUACAUGAAUUUUCAGUAGUUGGCAAUAUUUUUAUCUUUGCCCUUUCUACAUAAUAACGGCAAAUUGUGAACUUCUAGAAUGACCAGUAUAAUAUAGACUGAUUAAAAUUGAUAACAUUAUAAAGGAAACAGAAAGUGUAUAUCUUAUCAUCUAAGUUUAUUUCUUUCACUGAAUAUUGCUGAAAAAAUUUAAAUGAUGUUUUUUUUUUCACAUGCUUUCACUUGGCAUCACUGUUCACGCAUUUUUGAAGCCUCCCUCAUGUAGCCUAUAGAGUAUGGAUGCAUUGCCUGAUGACAUAAUAUAUAUGACAGCUUUAAUUCUUUCACGCAUGUUGUCAACAUUAUGUAAUUUCGUUCCAUAAAUAUGUUCUUCGAACAUUUCUUUGAACAAUCAAAAUUCACAUGAAUGUGGUCAGGCAAAUAGAUUGUUGAAACUCAACCAUAAAUCUGUUUAUGUUUGGUAGGUGGGAUCUUCAAAUUUUUGUUCCUAAAAACUUCUGUACAGUCAGUUUUCUUUCUUUUGUUUUAAAAUACUUUAGUGAUCUUUAAGAAGACCACUCACGGCAACUUCAGUCUUCUAUGAAAGCAUCACCUUUAAAAAACGGACUUUUAAUAUCGAUAUUUAUUUAUUUUCUCAGAAAUACUGUUUACUUAUCGCCACGAAAGACUGUAAUUUUAACUGUAAUUAUAAUCAGAGAUCCGAUGUACCUUAUUAGAACCACAGUCAUAUUAUGAGACACAUUUUAAAUGUUUAUAAAAUUUUAAUUAUCCUGAUAAUUUUUUGCUUGGGGCUUUUGUGAAUCGAAUUGAGGAUAAUAAAUAAUGACUUCAAGAAAAUUUUUCUUUCUAUUAGAGCAGGAAAUCCAAUCAGUUUAUAUCACAGUCCUUCCUACUUUUUCCAAAAAUGUAAUAAUAUGAUCUUAAGGUCAGUAACAAAUAAAAAGCGUUUUAGUAAAUAUUUGCUUAUUCAGCAAACUACGUUUUUAGGUAUGCUUGUUCAAUAAAGUUCUUUAUUCAACAAACUACGUUUGUUUAAUAAACUAUGUGCACAGGACCGUAUUUAGAUUUGACGAGAUCCUAAGCAGUCGAGAUAUGGGGUCCUUUAUAAGGGAUAUCAGUCAAUUUUUUUUAUAUGGGAUAUGUUACAAUAUUUCGGGUGGGGGAGCCCUAAGCUAUAAGCUUGUUCAGCUUAUACGUAAAUCCGGUAAUGGGCAUAAAUUUUCAUGGACUGUGGAUUGCAUUUGCAAGAUGAUAAGAAUCAUUCGCUGAAGGCAAGGGUUGACAUUGAUUCAACAUUAACGUAUUUUAACUACUGUCAUUUAUUUUAUCAUAUUAAUGAUAAAAUAAUGCUGUGAACUCAAUAUUCUAAAAUAAUACUAUGUUUAAAUAAAAGCGAAGUAUGUGUUUUGUAAACACGCUUGGUAUGAAGAGCAAAAUUGCUGAAUAGCGGUUUACAGUGAAACUAAUAUGUGAUCAGAAUUAUAAAUAUAGACCACGCUGAUUUCUAGAUUAAGCAAACAUGUCAAGAUAAAACUACAUGUUAAAGAAGUUGUUGAUUAUUGUGUAAAGUAAAGGAGUGAUAUUUUCCAUGUGAUAGCAGGAUAAGUUCUUCAUGAAUGUGAAAGUCUGAUUGUUUAGUAUUACGGUUGUAUACAUAUUAAAUUUAUUUGUAAAUAAAAGAUGAAUUUUGUGUA